CACAGGAUGGCAGCGCUCCACCAUCUGCCUCCGUGUUAUCACGCCAAGCCAGACGAGGAAAACAACGUGAACAUGAGGAGCUGCUGGACUACAUGGAGAAGGCUGACGAUAAGCUGACAUGGUGGCAAAGAUGGAGGCAGACACAAGCGCUCUGCUUGGGCUCAUGGGGCGCAUGGUGGCAAUGAUGGAGGCGCAAGCAAA